rnacentral:rRNA from 1 species
GCAAGCGGACCUCAUAAAGUGCGUCGUAGUCCGGAUUGGAGUCUGCAACUCGACUCCAUGAAGUCGGAAUCGCUAGUAAUCGUGGAUCAGAAUGCCACGGUGAAUACGUUCCCGGGCCUUGUACACACCGCCCGUCACACCAUGGGAGUGGGUUGCAAAAGAAGUAGGUAGCUUAACCUUCGGGAGGGCGCUUACCACUUUGUGAUUCAUGACUGGGGUGAAGUCGUAACAAGGUAACCGUAGGGGAACCUGCGGUUGGAUCAC